UAGGAUUUUACUCAACAUCUACCAGAUGCCAGGGGUUCUAUAUAUCUAAUUCUCUUAGAACUCCUAAUCAUUGGAAAAGCCUUGAAUAAUCAGAUGAGGUUUUGCAAAAGUGGUGUUUUCUGAGAUAAGCCAUGAAAGAUGAACAGGAGUUACUUGAGAUGAGACAUGGGAUGAAGCCCUGGGCAGGUGUUCCAAUAGAGGGAACAGAAUAUUCCCAUAUGGAAAGGAAAAAUGAAACUCACUUGAGAAACUCAGUGCAGCUUGUCUAAAACCACAGGAAGCAGAGAAAGUGUGUAGCUUGGAAAUCUAGGAAGGAGUGGGGGUUGGGUAGGCUAAGGGAUACCAGAGGGCCAGAAUACAGCAUGAAGUCUGAACUUUUUUCUUUUUUCUUUUUUUUCAUUUGUUUAUUUUCUGUUAGAUAUUUUCUUUAUAUACAUUUCAAAUGCUAUCCCCAAAUUUCCCUAUACCCUUCCUCAGCCCUGCUCCCCUACCCAUCCACUCCCGCUUCUUGGCCCUGGCAUUCCACUGUACUAGGGCAUAUAAAGUUUGCAAGACCAAGGGGCCUCUCUUCUCAGUGAUGGCCGACUAGGCCAUCUUCUGCUACGUAUGCAGCUAGGGAAACGAGCUCUGGGGGGGACUGGUUAGUUCAUAUUGCUAUUCCACCUAUAGGGUUGCAGACCCAUUCAUGUGCAAUAAUGUCUGGGUUUGGUGGCUGAUUAUGGGAUGGAUCCCCAGAUGGGUUAGUCUCUGGCUAGUCCAUCCUUUCAUCUUAGCUCCAAACUUUGUCUCUGUAACUCCUUUUGUGGGUGUUUUGUUCCCUAUUCUAAGGAGGAAUGAAGUAUCUACCCAUUGGUCUUCCGUCUUCUUGAUUUUCUUGUGUCUUGCAAAUUGUAUCUUGGUUUGAACUUUUUUUCUGAGAGCAAUUUAGAAGAGCAAGUUUUGGGCAUGUUUAGUUACAGUGUGGUAAAAGUAGGUUAAAUGAGUAAAACAUUGGUAUAAAGACUAAGAUAAAGUGUAUAUUAGUUCCAAAUUUUGAGUAAUUAUCUACACUUCCCCAGCCAUUUAUACAUUUAAUGAAUAUAUUGGCUAAAUGUUGAUCAAAUAUUUUUGUGUUAUUGUCAAUUAACUAUUUCUUAUGGUGUCCUUGUUAUGUGUCAAGUACCUUAGAUAAACAGUGAUCUCCAUUUUUCUCUGAGACAGGACCUGAUAUAGCCAUUCAGGCCUUGAACUUACCACUCCUCUGCUUCCUGAGUUCUAGGAAUAAAGGCACCCACCAGCAUGCCUUUUGAUAGGUGAGGGAACUAAAAUAAGCAGAGCUCACGAGUGCCGACAACAUCACUAGUGAAAGGCCAAGACAGAAUUUGAUCUCAGGUCAGUUUAACAUCCCGACAGAUUUAGCCAUGUCCUUCAAAGAAACAUUUCACACUAAGUUAUGUUAACAUACUCUAAAAUUC
rnacentral:lncRNA from 1 species